rnacentral:rRNA from 1 species
GACGAACGCUGGCGGCGUGCUUAACACAUGCAAGUCGAACGGAAAGGCCCUGCUUUUGUGGGGUGCUCGAGUGGCGAACGGGUGAGUAACACGUGAGUAACCUGCCCUUGACUUUGGGAUAACUUCAGGAAACUGGGGCUAAUACCGGAUAGGAGCUCCUGCUGCAUGGUGGGGGUUGGAAAGUUUCGGCGGUUGGGGAUGGACUCGCGGCUUAUCAGCUUGUUGGUGGGGUAGUGGCUUACCAAGGCUCUGACGGGUAGCCGGCCUGAGAGGGUGACCGGCCACAUUGGGACUGAGAUACGGCCCAGACUCCUACGGGAGGCAGCAGUGGGGAAUAUUGCACAAUGGGCGGAAGCCUGAUGCAGCAACGCCGCGUGCGGGAUGACGGCCUUCGGGUUGUAAACCGCUUUCGCCUGUGACGAAGCGUGAGUGACGGUAAUGGGUAAAGAAGCACCGGCUAACUACGUGCCAGCAGCCGCGGUGAUACGUAGGGGGCGAGCGUUGUCCGGAUUUAUUGGGCGUAAAGGGCUCGUAGGUGGUUGAUCGCGUCGGAAGUGUAAUCUUGGGGCUUAACCCUGAGCGUGCCUUCGAUACGGGUUGACUUGAGGAAGGUAGGGGAGAAUGGAAUUCCUGGUGGAGCGGUGGAAUGCGCAGAUAUCAGGAGGAACACCAGUGGCGAAGGCGGUUCUCUGGGCCUUUCCUGACGCUGAGGAGCGAAAGCGUGGGGAGCGAACAGGCUUAGAUACCCUGGUAGUCCACGCUGUAAACGGUGGGUACUAGGUGUGGGGUCCAUUCCACGGGUUCCGUGCCGUAGCUAACGCUUUAAGUACCCCGCCUGGGGAGUACGGCCGCAAGGCUAAAACUCAAAGGAAUUGACGGGGCCCCGCACAAGCGGCGGAGCAUGCGGAUUAAUUCGAUGCAACGCGUAGAACCUUACCUGGGUUUGACAUGGAUCGGGAGUGCUCAGAGAUGGGUGUGCCUCUUUUGGGGUCGGUUCACAGGUGGUGCAUGGCUGUCGUCAGCUCGUGUCGUGAGAUGUUGGGUUAAGUCCCGCAACGAGCGCAACCCUUGUUCACUGUUGCCAGCACGUUAUGGUGGGGACUCAGUGGAGACCGCCGGGGUCAACUCGGAGGAAGGUGGGGAUGACGUCAAGUCAUCAUGCCCCUUAUGUCCAGGGCUUCACGCAUGCUACAAUGGCUGGUACAGAGAGUGGCGAGCCUGUGAGGGUGAGCGAAUCUCGGAAAGCCGGUCUCAGUUCGGAUUGGGGUCUGCAACUCGACCUCAUGAAGUCGGAGUCGCUAGUAAUCGCAGAUCAGCAACGCUGCGGUGAAUACGUUCCCGGG